rnacentral:rRNA from 1 species
UAAUAGUAUGGGGGAGUCUGCCCCGAUAGAGGGGGAUAACUACUGGAAAACGGUGGCUAAUACCGCAUAAUGUCUACGGACCAAAGCAGGGGCGUCUUCGGACCUUGUCACUAUCGGAUGAACCCAUAUGGGAUUAGCUAGUAGGUGGGGUAAAGGCUCACCUAGGCGACGAUCUCUAGCUGGUCUGAGAGGAUGAUCAGCCACACUGGGACUGAGACACGGCCCAG